UACGUAGGGAGCAAGCGUUGUCCGGAAUCAUUGGGCGUAAAGAGCGUGUAGGCGGUCCGGUAAGUCCGUUGUGAAAGUCGAGGGCUCAACCCUCGAAUGCCGGCGGAUACUGUGGACUAGAGUCCGGAAGAGGUGAGUGGAAUUCCCGGUGUAGCGGUGAAAUGCGCAGAUAUCGGGAGGAACACCAAUGGCGAAGGCAGCUCACUGGGACGGUACUGACGCUGAGACGCGAAAGCGUGGGGAGCAAACAGGAU
rnacentral:rRNA from 1 species